GCGCGGGCUGGGAGCGCCGGCAAGGGCGGCCCUCGCGCACCUGGCUGCCAGCCCGCAGGGGGCUCGCACGCAGACCUGCCCUUGCCACCUCAGCGCUCGGGUGCGGGCUGGGGGCGGUGGAGCCACGAAAGGUGGUGCCGAGAGCGGAGCGCAGGACAGCGCAGGAGCCCCGGCGCAUCGCGGCGCGCACAGACCCAGGAUUUGUGAAGAGGUGACCCAAAUUUCAAGACAAUGUUGGAUGCAAACGGAUUUGCCAGCAACUGCAUCACUGUCAAAACCAGCUCUGCCCGUGUCUUCCGAAGAUACCAAGUGAAAUACAUGUAGAUGGGAUUUACAUCUGAAAAACCAAGUGAGAAACUGAAGACCAGAGAGGGUGAGUGGUUUACUCAGUUUGGCACAACUGACCCCAACCUAGCCCUCCAUGAGGACUGAGCGCAUGAGAGAUCCUGAGCCACAGCCGCCCAGCCCUGCUCCUCUCGAAUUUCUGACCUACAGGAACUGCAAGAAGUAAUGAAAGACUGCUGUUUAAAGCCACUGCAUUUUGGCAUGAUUUGUUAUGCAGUCGUAGAUAACCAGAAAACAUCGGAUUUACAUUUUAAGGAUUACUUCAUGCACAUAAAAGAAAACGCAACUACAGUGGACCCUGAACAACGUAGGAAACAGAGAAGCAAAGAAGUUAGCAAGCUUGUUUUGGCAGAAGAAAAAACACAAAAUACCCAACCACAGAUCCUCAAAAAUAUUGCUAAGCACUAAUUUUGCUAACAUGUUAGACAGCCUUCGGAUCUAGGCAAUCUUGUUCCUCAGCUGGAAAGAGUUCCUGCCAGCCAUGUGAUUCCAAAUCCACCCUGGACAUAUGGGGAUAAUGAGAAAAUCAGCUCCGGCCUUCCCUGGCCUUCCAGCCAAGUGAAUGGGGGCAUCCCCUGGUGCUUCAGCCCGGGGCCCACCCAGAGGAUGCUAGCUGGCCUGCAGAGGCCUCAACCAUGCCCUCCUGGACUCAGGUAAGACUGAGGUUUCCAUGCCCUCAAAACAAUUGUUCAGACAAAAACUCACUGCCCAGGUCAAAGUCACAGCACCAGAAAGCCAACCUGAGGAUGAAGACAAAGCUCUUUGUUGGCACAGUCCCCUGAUCAUUCGAGGUCAGCAUCUCCAUCAAAAUGGACCCAAUGCUGAGGCAAGAAGGAGAACAUCACUGUUAAGAAGAUGGAAAAUGCAUUUGAGGUGGACUGAACACAGCCAGGAGUUUUUGCUUAUCGACAGCACUGAAUCCUGCCUUGACUAGAGAGACUCGUCAUGUGAUCAACUGUGGCCAGAGGGCAUCCUGCAGACAGCUCCUGUCACACCACACUGACCAGACUCUUAUGAGUAUUUAAGCAUCUUCAGGGAAGCGAUUGACUGUCUUAUAAUGGUCUUACAAGUACGGAACUUUAUUACCUGCUAAUAAUCAGAGCACAUGAUGGCACAAUAGAAUAUACGAGUGAAGUUCUAAAUGCAAGGUUGUUCUUAUUCUGUGAGUGGCAAAACUCAUGCAGUGAGCAGAUAAAGCUGGCAGGAGGCAUUGGCGCCCUAAUGCUGGGCACUAACCACCUGCCCGGACUGCGAAUAUCUGUUGGGUCCUUUCUAUAUCUGGUCUAUUCUCGUGUUUGAUUAUAUCCUGGUGGCAAGAAUAGCAAAAUCAACUCUCCUUCCUAUCCCAUGUGGAGAGGCAUGAUUUGAGUCAGAGAGCAUUAUCCUCUCUGCGUUAUCCAACCCCAUGUCCCAUGAUGCACUUUGUAGACAAGCAAGUGUCCCUGGUGGAGAAUCCACAGCCACACAUCCUCAUUGGUUGCAAGGAUCAGUGUCCAAUAUCUACUGCCAUGAUCAUUCUCAGUUUUACAUCCACAGAGCUUCAUAGAAUUCUAACACCACAGGUCCAAGUAGAGGUUUUGGCCUCAGAGUGGGCUAGAUUCCACCUCUGACAGCAGCUGUGGGACUGUUUUUCCAUCUGUAAAAUGGAGACAAGAGUAUCACCUACCUCAUGGUGUUGGUGGGAUCGUUAAACAGAAUUCCGAUCAUGAAACCCUUAGCCUGCUCCCUGCAUAGGCUGCAUGCGCUCAGUGAGCUAUGGCUCUGUUUCAUGCUGACUUUACCAUCAUGUAAGCAGUUUUAAAAAUGCUAGAAGCUUUAGUCAUAGAAUUACCAUAUGAUACAGCCUACUGCAGAGUCCAGAGGCUGAGGCAGGAGAGUUACUUGAACCUGGGAGGCGGAGGUUGCAGUGAGCCAAGAUCGCGCCACUGCACUCCAGCCUGGGCAACAGAGUGAGAUUCUGUCUCAACACAAAAAAGAAGACAUGUGUCCCCAUCACAGUAUCAUACAGAGUGCUUCCACUGCCCUAAAAUACCCUGUGCUCUUCCUAUUCAUCCCUCUCUUCAACCCCAGCAACCACUGAUCCUUUUACCAUCUCCAUGGUUUUGCCUUUCCCAGAAUGUCAUAUUGUUGGAAUCAUACGCUAUGUAGCCUUUGCAAAUGGGCUUCUUUCACCGAGCAAUGUGCAUUGAAGGUGCCUCUAUGACUUUUCAAGGGUUGAUAGCUCAUUCCUUUUUAUUGCUAAAUAAUAUUCCAUUGUCUGAAUGUACCACAUUUUGUUUAUCCAUUCACCUACUAAAGGACAUCUUGGUUGCUUCCAAGUUUGGGC
rnacentral:lncRNA from 1 species